rnacentral:rRNA from 1 species
GACGAACGCUGGCGGCGUGCUUAACACAUGCAAGUCGAACGCUGAAGCUUGGUGCUUGCACUGGGUGGAUGAGUGGCGAACGGGUGAGUAAUACGUGAGUAACCUGCCCUUGACUCUGGGAUAAGCCUGGGAAACUGGGUCUAAUACUGGAUACGACAUGUCACCGCAUGGUGGUGUGUGGAAAGGGUUUUACUGGUUUUGGAUGGGCUCACGGCCUAUCAGCUUGUUGGUGGGGUAAUGGCUCACCAAGGCGACGACGGGUAGCCGGCCUGAGAGGGUGACCGGCCACACUGGGACUGAGACACGGCCCAGACUCCUACGGGAGGCAACAGUGGGGAAUAUUGCACAAUGGGCGGAAGCCUGAUGCAGCGACGCCGCGUGAGGGAUGACGGCCUUCGGGUUGUAAACCUCUUUCAGCACGGAAGAAGCGAAAGUGACGGUACGUGCAGAAGAAGCGCCGGCUAACUACGU